GAUGAACGCUGGCGGCGUGCCUAAUACAUGCAAGUCGAGCGAACAGACGAGGAGCUUGCUCCUCUGACGUUAGCGGCGGACGGGUGAGUAACACGUGGAUAACCUACCUAUAAGACUGGGAUAACUUCGGGAAACCGGAGCUAAUACCGGAUAAUAUAUUGAACCGCAUGGUUCAAUAGUGAAAGACGGUUUUGCUGUCACUUAUAGAUGGAUCCGCGCCGCAUUAGCUAGUUGGUAAGGUAACGGCUUACCAAGGCAACGAUGCGUAGCCGACCAGAGAGGGUGAUCGGCCACACGGGAACUGAGACACGGUCCAGACUCCUACGGGAGGCAGCAGAAGGGAAUCUUCCGCAAUGGUCGAAAGCUUGACGGAACAACGCCGGGUGAGUGAUGAAGGUCUUCGGAUCGUAAAACUCUGUUAUUAGGGAAGAACAAAUGUGUAAGUAACUAUGCACGUCUUGACGGUACCUAAUCAGAAAGCCACGGCUAACUACGUG
rnacentral:rRNA from 1 species